AGCUGCGUGGCGGGCACAGAGCGAACUAUUCUUUCGCCUUUUACUAAAGAAUACCGUGUGCUCGCCACAUUAAGCAGCAUACGCCAAUUUUUGGAGGGCUACUUCUCUAUCUGGGGAGGG